GGGGCUGCACUGGUUUCGACGUGGGUUCGGACGCGUGGCAGGGCAUGCCGAGCUGAAUGUGCUCGUAAAACUGAUUCAAAAAAGUAACUGCAAACGACUCUACGUUCGCACUCGCCGCUUAAUUGCCGGUGAGCUUUGCAACAGCAGGCCUAUGGGCUGGGUGAGGUUCCCUUCGGGGGGCCGAGCUGCAAAGAAACCUUCAUAGGCUGGUUUCCCGCCGGGUCACUUGGCGGGGAACGAGACAAUAGGUGACUGGCGUCCUGUGCAGCGUGCCGCUGCGCGGCACAGGAAGCGAGAUCCAAACCAGACGGCUACGCAUGUAGAACUGUACGAAGAAGGCUUGCGGACGCGGGUUCAAUUCCCGCCAGCUCCACCA
rnacentral:tmRNA from 1 species